rnacentral:rRNA from 1 species
AGCAAAGCCUUGGGCGUGAAGAACCAGAAGCUUUCAACCUACGAGAAAGAGUUCUUGGCUGUGAUGAUGGCCGUGGACAAAUGGCGCUCUUACCUCCAACGCGGGCCGUUCACCAUCAUCACCGACCACAAGAGCCUGUGCACACUCGGGGAUCAGCAACUGGUGACCGAUGUCCAGCGCCGCGCCAUGUCCAAGCUCGUCGGCCUUCAAUUCAAGUUUCAAUACAAGCACGGGAUCGACAAUGGCGCCGCGGACGCACUCUCG